rnacentral:rRNA from 1 species
GACGAACGCUGGCGGCGUGCUUAACACAUGCAAGUCGAACGGAGUUCCUUGGAUAGAGGCUUCGGCCAAUUGAAUUGGAACUUAGUGGCGGACUGGUGAGUAACGCGUGAGGAACCUGCCUUUCAGAGGGGGACAACAGUUGGAAACGACUGCUAAUACCGCAUAAUGUAUUUUGGGGGCAUCCCUGAAAUACCUAAGCUUUAUGUGCUGAAAGAUGGUCUCGCGUCUGAUUAGCUAGAUGGCGGGGUAACGGCCCACCAUGGCGACGAUCAGUAGCCGGACUGAGAGGUUGAACGGCCACAUUGGAACUGAGAUACGGUCCAAACUCCUACGGGAGGCAGCAGUGGGGAAUAUUGGGCAAUGGGCGCAAGCCUGACCCAGCAACGCCGCGUGAGGGAAGAAGGUUUUCGGAUUGUAAACCUCUGUCCUAAGUGAAGAGCAGAAGACGGUAGCUUAGGAGGAAGCCCCGGCUAACUACGUG